UUUUCUUGGCUUGUUUUAUUGGGCAAUGAUACAAUGUUUACUAGUAAUGAAUUAGUUGGUAUUGGCUUUGCCAAUUAUGACGGUCUUAAUGGCAACUUAGUUGCAAAUGGUAGUGCUACUUUGAUUAUGUUUGAAUUGUCUGAGCCCAAGUAUUUUUUUUUUUUAUACACAACGUUCGACGAAGCGGAAGGAGCAUUGUUACAGUUCCGUGAGGAAAGAUACCGACUCCUUCAAAUGCAGUCAGUUCGAACUGAACAACAAUCAAGACACAAUGGUUCCACAUCCGCAAGUGCUUUGGAAAUUCAACAUCAAACUAGUCUAACCACAAAAUUCAUUAUAGUUUUUUUCUUAGGUUUCUUAUGUUGUAUAAUCUUCGCACAUCUAUUCGAUUCUGAUUGAACUUGUA